rnacentral:rRNA from 1 species
GAUGAACGCUGGCGGCGUGCCUAAUACAUGCAAGUCGAGCGAACGGGCGAGAAGCUUGCUUCUCUGAUGUUAGCGGCGGACGGGUGAGUAACACGUGGAUAACCUACCUAUAAGACUGGGAUAACUUCGGGAAACCGGAGCUAAUACCGGAUAAUAUUUCGAACCGCAUGGUUCAAAAGUGAAAGACGGUCUUGCUGUCACUUAUAGAUGGAUCCGCGCUGCAUUAGCUAGUUGGUAAGGUAACGGCUUACCAAGGCAACGAUGCAUAGCCGACCUGAGAGGGUGAUCGGCCACACUGGAACUGAGACACGGUCCAGACUCCUACGGGAGGCAGCAGUAGGGAAUCUUCCGCAAUGGGCGAAAGCCUGACGGAGCAACGCCGCGUGAGUGAUGAAGGUCUUCGGAUCGUAAAACUCUGUUAUUAGGGAAGAACAUAUGUGUAAGUAACUGUGCACAUCUUGACGGUACCUAAUCAGAAAGCCACGGCUAACUACGUG